ensembl:lncRNA
AAAGUAAUUAAGUGUCAUCGACAUAGCAAUGAUAAGAGAGACAAUGUGAGAACAUGGCGAGUGACUUUGUCUAUAGAGAGAAGAGGAGAUGGCCUAGAACCGAGCCCUGGGGGACACCAGUAGUGAGAGUACGUGGUGCAGACACAGAUCCUCUCCACGUCACCUGGUGGUGAGAGGCCUGCCAGGUAGAGUCCAAGAGUUUGCAAAGCCUGAGAUGCCCAGCCCUGAGAGUAAAGGGGAAGCAAGAGUUAAAAUGGGAAUGCAGUCCAGUGCCUGCUGCUCAAAGGGAGAUUCCCUUCUUGGAGGACAUGACUCUCUUCAUCCAGCCAUUACAGAACCUUCUACAUUAUGUGCUCUGUGGA